rnacentral:rRNA from 1 species
AUGGCCGGCGACGGCGACCUCGCCUCCCGAUGCCUCCGCCAGCAAGUCGCCCUCGCCUCCGACCACGACUUCGCGUUCCAACUCCAGCUCAACGAGGCCAUCCAAGCUUCCCUCCGCGUCCCAACUCCCAAUCGGCCCUCUUCCAGCGGCGGCGGCGGCGGCGCCGCCGCCACCGCAUUCUGCUCUUGCCGCUCAUGUCAACCCGUCUCUGCGCUCUGGUCCUCCGAACUCGCACUCGCCGAACUCGCGCGCCAAGAGAAGAACCGCCGCGACGCCCAGGCCUUCCGCGUCGCCCACGCCCAGGCAAACACCUCCGCCCGCGUGGCCUCCCGCGGUUCCCUCUUGGCGCGCGAGCUCGCUGACACUCCAGACCGCCGACGGGCGCAUGGUGGGGACCGCCUCGAGCGGCCUCUGGACCCAAGCCGCUCCCCUUCCUCCCGCAUCUUCUACAAGGGCUUGUCGAACAAGGAGGGCGCCGGCGGGUGGUGGGUCGUCCCGGCCCCCCGCGUCGCGGUGCUCGCUGUGGUCGUGUACGAUCCCCAGGGGAAGGUGGUGCGCACCAUACAGAAGCGCGUGGAAAGGUUUGUGGGCGGACGCAUGGAGCUCGAGGUGCUGGCGCUCAAGGAAGGCAUCCAGGCUGCGCUCGAGCUGGGGAUACGAUGGGUUAACAUCGUCUCCGACUUCAAGGCGCUGCACAAAUAUAUGCUUGGAACUUGGCGUCCCACAAAGAACAAGAGUGAACAUAUGGUAAAUGAGGCUCUCUCACUAAUGAGGAAAUUCAAUCAUUGUGAAUUCUCACUUAUUCCAUGCGGCCAAGUUGGUUAUGCAACAAAACUAGCAACAGAUUUGGUAGGCACCAACAAGAAAGAGGCCUGCAAGAGAGAGACCUGCACCAUCUGCUUGGAAGACACUGAUGUUUCUAAGAUUCACGCAGUUGAAGGCUGUGCGCAUCGGUUUUGCUUGUCCUGCAUGAAAGAGCAUGUGAGAGUUAAGCUGCGCGAUGGAACGCUCCCAGCUUGUCCACAAGAUGGCUGCACUACCAAGCUAACCGUGGAGGGUUCAAAGAUAUUCCUGUCACCACAACUGUUAGAGACCAUGGCGCAACGUAUCAGGGAAGCACAAAUCCCUCCUACUCAGAAGGUUUACUGCCCGAAUGCCAGGUGCUCAGCCUUAAUGUCCUCGAGUGAAGCGAUACACCCACUGCAAGAACCUGAUGCUGGAGCCGAGACGUUGGGGAAGUGCGUGAAAUGCGGGCGCUUGUUCUGCGUCAAAUGUAAGGUCCCAUGGCAUUACGGGAUAAGUUGCGUUGACUACAAGAGAAGGUACCCUCAUGCUCUACAGAACCUUGCGCAGCGGCGGUCGUGGCGCCAGUGCGUCAAAUGCAAGCACCUGAUCGAGCUCGCUGAGGGUUGCUACCAUAUCACCUGCGUGUGCGGCUAUGAGUUCUGCUACACCUGUGGGAAAGAAUGGAAGGACAAGAAGGCAACCUGCUCCUGCCUUCUGUGGGAUGAACGCAAUAUAAUCCGUGACCGAGGAGGACGACGAUGA